rnacentral:rRNA from 1 species
UACGGAGGGGGCGAGCGUUAUUCGGAAUUAUUGGGCGUAAAGGGCGCGUAGGCGGCUUGGCAAGUCGAAGGUGAAAUCCCUCGGCUCAACUGAGGAACUGCCUUUGAAACUGUCUGGCUUGAGGCCGGGAGGGGGUAGCGGAAUUCCCAGUGUAGCGGUGAAAUGCGUAGAUAUCAGGAGGAACACCGGUGGCGAAGGCGGGUCUCUGGGCCGUAACUGACGCUGAGGAGCGAAAGCGUGGGGAGCGAACAGG